UACGAAGGGGGCUAGCGUUGUUCGGAUUUACUGGGCGUAAAGGGCGCGUAGGCGGCGCACCAAGUCAGGCGUGAAAGCCCUGGGCUCAACCCGGGAAUUGCGCUUGAGACUGGUGUGCUUGAGUACGGGAGAGGAUAGUGGAAUUCCCAGUGUAGAGGUGAAAUUCGUAGAUAUUGGGAAGAACACCGGUGGCGAAGGCGGCUAUCUGGACCGUAACUGACGCUGAGGCGCGAAAGCGUGGGGAGCAAUCAGG
rnacentral:rRNA from 1 species